GGCUCAGUGGUUCAAUGGUAAAAGCGGCUCGUCGCGGAGCCAGAGGGUACUGGGUUCGAUCCCCAACAGGGUCG
rnacentral:tRNA from 1 species